AAUCUGCGAUAUUCUUUUCUUUCACUUGCAAUUAUUUCAUCUUUUUUUUAACUGUCCCUCACUUUUGUUCCUCUAUCCGUUUUUAGCUAUACCGUUGCAACAUACACAAGUUCCCCCUUUCUUUGCUUCGGUGGUUUCUUGAUCCCUAGCUUUGUUAUUCCUUUCUUCAACAAUUUCCCCCUUUUCUCACACUGUCUCUUUUAGGAUAUUUUGUAUUUUUUUUUUAAAGAAAAACUAAAUUUAGUUUAAUAUUCAAAGUUUAUUUUUUAUUAUAGAAAUUUUGUUCACGCACCCACAUGCAUGUUCUCUUCAUGCUUGUCUGAUCUGGAUUGGAUCACAAGGAUCUUUGCCAUUUUCCCUUUUUGUUUGCUACUUGAAGGGCAGUGGUGUCGUGGGGUUUGACUAACCUAUGAUUCCUGAACCCUUGGGCAACCAUCAAGAAAGGAGAAAGGGUAGUGUAGUAUCUUGCACCCUUCCUUUAAAUGCUUGAUCUGGGACCCCACAUGAUGUUUUUCUUUGAUUUUUUCAAUUUUCUGUUGUGCUUUUAGUCUUUUAUGGUUCUGAUUCAAAUUGGGUCUUUUUUCAAUUUCUGAUUGAUAGGGACCUAUUUGCUGUGUUCUAGAGGGAAAUUGUGAACAAGGUUGUGUGGUUUGAGUGCUGGUUGGUUGGAUUGCGCAAGUUUUGGGUACCCAAUUGAGAAAAGUUUUGAUUUUUUAUGGUGGCAUGUGUAUAUGCUUGUGAUUUAUCCUCUGGGUUGGUGGUGGUGUACCCUUUAUGCUGUUGAGGUAUGGCGGGGAUUGAUGUUUCAAAGUAUGCUCAUAGUCCUGUGCACAAGGCCAUAAUUUUGAAGGAUUAUGCUGAACUUAAGAGGGUACUUGAAAGCCUCCCUCGCCUGCGUAACACGGCCGAGAUUCGCACCGUAGCAGUUUCAACAUUAGAGGAAGAGAAGGCUGAUGCCAUCUCUGCUGUAAUUGAUCGGCGCGAUGUGCCAAACCGUGAUACCCCUCUUCACUUGGCUGUGAAAUUUGGGGACGAAGUGGCCACACAGAUGCUUAUGGUUGCUGGGGCAGAUUGGAGUUUGCAGAAUGAACAGGGAUGGAGUGCUCUUCAGGAAGCUAUUUGUAGUAGAGAAGAGGGUAUUGCGAAAAUAAUAAUUAAACAUUACCAGCCACUUGCUUGGGCAAAAUGGUGCAGAAGGUUGCCUCGCUUGGUAGGGACCAUGCAGAGAAUGAGAGACUUUUACAUGGAGAUUACAUUCCAUUUUGAGAGUUCCGUGAUUCCUUUCAUUUCAAGAAUUGCACCUUCAGACACUUACAAAAUUUGGAAAAGGGGAGCAAAUCUAAGGGCAGACAUGACUUUGGCUGGUUUUGAUGGUUUUAGAAUUCAGAGAUCAGAUCAGAGCAUUCUUUUCUUGGGUGACGGUUCAGAGGAUGGGAAAGUCCCACCCGGGUCGCUGUGCAUGAUCUCACACAAGGAAAAGGAGGUACUUAAUGCUCUAGAUGAUGCUGGCUUUCCAGCAAACGAUGAGGAGGUUCAGCAAGAAGUUGCCGCAAUGUCUAAAACAAAUAUAUUUAGGCCCGGGAUUGACGUUACACAAGCAGUUCUUUUGCCUCAGUUGACUUGGAGGCGACAGGAGAGAGCAGAAAUGGUAGGGCCUUGGAAAGCUAAGGUGUAUGAUAUGCACAACGUAGUUGUAAGCAUAAAAUCUAGAGGAGUUCCUGGAGCUAUGACAGAUGAUGAAUUAUUCUCAUCUUGCAAUGAAAAUGAAACAGAAAGUGAAGAGCUCAAUGAUAUUUUGACUGAGGAUGAAAGAAGGCAGUUGGAAGAUGCACUUAAGUUGGAUUCAUCAGACAUGAUCAAUGAAAGUGAUGAGGUGAUUAUUGGGCAUCGUCACAGCUGUUAUGAACAUAGAGAUAUUCCUAUUGAAGAUGGAAAUGGUAGCAAAUGCGUAGAGAAUAAGCAGGAAAAGAAGGGAUGGUUUGGUGGAUGGAGGAAAAAGGAUUCUAAACAUGAAGCAUCAAAGAAGAUUGCUCUACCAAGAAGUUCUCUAUGUGUAGAAGAAAAGGUGAGUGAUUUAUUGGGGGAUUCUCCUUCAAGAAAUCAGAGUAAGCUAGGAAGACAUUCUGUUGAGAUAGCGGUGAGGGGUGAUGAGCAGCGGAGGAAAAAAGAUGCCAAAGCUUCUUCAGCAAAUUCUGAUAGCAGAAGUCGUCACAAGGAUGGAAAUCGUGAAAAUGAAUACAAGAAAGGAUUGAGACCCAUUCUUUGGCUUUCACCAAACUUUCCACUAAAAACUGAAGAACUCUUGCCGUUGCUUGACAUUGUUGCUAACAAAGUUAAAGCAAUUCGUCGUUUAAGAGAACUUCUUACGACCAAACUUCCAGUGGGGACGUUUCCUGUUAAGUUUGAUGCUUGUUUUUGGACUCUUGAACAACAAUAAAUUGAUGGGGUCCUUGACAUUGGGUUUCACUGAAUAUAAAGAAGACAAUUGGAAAAAUGUAUGGGGUCACGUCAAAAAUAGCUUUGAUUUCGCCAGAGAUGAAGAAGACUUGAACUUGGCCGGAGAUGGUGACUCACACUAGAAAAGGACAUUGGAUAUGGAGGACGAAGCAAGAGGAUGAGAAGAUGAAGAAAGGUCACUAGGAUUUGAUUUGUCAAAAAUGAAGGAGCACAAAAAGCAGCAAUGUAAAAAGAAUGCAAAAUCCCAAGAUUGUCCCCCUUAAAAGCAUUCCAACACUCAAGAAGGGAGGGGAAACUCAACUUUUUGCCUUGUGUAUCACUAGAAAACAACUUUUUGCGGUGCAACAGCCGCUGUAGAAAACUAUGAUGCGAUGAUUGGAGUAGGAAGCCACUCCACUCUGCUCCUCCGCAAUAGAGGUUGCCAUCCCUGUAGUUCCCACCAUCAGAGUGUUGGUUACUUUUACAAAAUUUGAAGAACUACAACCAGUAGACGAAUUUGCAACACCACCAUCGAGUCCAUCUGCAACUGGCCAAGAGAGCCCUGCUGUGUCGCACUUCUCUGCAUCAUCUUGGUUUCAAUGGAUAAAGGCUCCAUACCGCCCUAGUUCAUCGGCUGCAGGAUCCAGCAGUAGGAUAGAAAAUAUUCAAGACCCGUUUGCAAUUCCAUCUGACUAUACCUGGGUUACUGCUGGGGCAAAGAAAAAGAAGAUGCAAGAGAAGAACAAGUCAAAGAAAGGGAAAAGUCAUAACUAACGAUGCCAUUUCAUAAGUAAGCUGUGUCUGGAAAGAUACUUUGCUCUUAUAGAGAGGAACUAGGGCUAUCUGUCAGGAAAUUGAAGCUAUCGUUCAUGUAGGAGGGAUCCUUCAAGGGACCGUUUAGGGGGCAUGUGGCAUGAGGAAAAGAAGCAUUGUGAUUCUUGCAAUAAUUGCUAGAGUUUUCAAGUUUACACCAAAGAAUUUGUUGAUUGUGUUUCAAUAUAUAUGGCAAACCAUUAACUCAGGAUAGUUGCAAUCACAAUGAGCAACUUUUAUCUUCAUGAUUGGAGUUUUAAAUCACCUAUGUUUGGUUAUAAUUCUUUUCACUUGAUUUUAUUCAUGUUGUAAAUAAACUCAAGAAUUUGUUUACUAGCUUUGUGUUUUAUCAUAGUAUGUU